AGGCGCGUAGCUCAGGGGUAGAGUACUUGCUUGACAUGCAAGGGGUCGGCGGUUCAAAACCGCCCGCGCCUA
rnacentral:tRNA from 2 species